rnacentral:rRNA from 1 species
UACGUAGGGGGCGAGCGUUGUCCGAAGUUACUGGGCGUAAAGCGCGCGUAGGCGGUCUGUCGCGUCGGCUGUGAAAUCCCGAGGCUCAACCUCGGGUCUGCAGUCGAUACGGGCAAACUGGAGUGUUGCAGGGGAGACUGGAAUUCCUGGUGUAGCGGUGGAAUGCGCAGAUAUCAGGAGGAACACCGGUGGCGAAGGCGGUUCUCUGGGCAUUACCUGACGCUGAGGAGCGAAAGCAUGGGGGAGCGAACAGG